UGCCAACUCCAAUACCUACAUAUAUAUGGGGAGGUAUAAGCUCCAAAUCAGUUUUACAGUGGAAACUGUAGGAACUUCAAACCUGCACUUCGAAACAGACUGAGAAAUCAGA